rnacentral:rRNA from 1 species
GAUGAACGCAGGCGGCGGGCUUAACACAUGCAAGUCGAGCGGAAACGAUGAUAGCUUGCUAUCAGGCGUCGAGCGGCGGACGGGUGAGUAAUACUUAGGAAUCUACCUAGUAGUGGGGGAUAGCUCGGGGAAACUCGAAUUAAUACCGCGUACGACCUACGGGAGAAAGGGGGCAACUUGUUGCUCUCGCUAUUAGAUGAGCCUAAGUCGGAUUAGCUAGAUGGUGGGGUAAAGGCCUACCAUGGCGACGAUCUGUAGCUGGUCUGAGAGGAUGAUCAGCCACACCGGGACUGAGACACGGCCCGG